rnacentral:rRNA from 1 species
UACGGAAGGCAGCAGUGGGGAAUAUUGCACAAUGGGCGCAAGCCUGAUGCAGCCAUGCCGCGUGUAUGAAGAAGGCCUUCGGGUUGUAAAGUACUUUCAGUCGUGAGGAAGGUGUUAAGGUUAAUAACCUUAGCAAUUGACGUUAGCGACAGAAGAAGCACCGGCUAACUCCGUGCCAGCAGCCGCGGUAAUACGGAGGGUGCGAGCGUUAAUCGGAAUUACUGGGCGUAAAGGGCACGCAGGCGGUUAAUUAAGUUGGAUGUGAAAUCCCCGGGCUUAACCUGGGAAUGGCAUUCAAGACUGGUUAGCUAGAGUCUUGUAGAGGGAGGUAGAAUUCCAUGUGUAGCGGUGAAAUGCGUAGAGAUGUGGAGGAAUACCGGUGGCGAAGGCGGCCCCUGGGACAAAGACUGACGCUCAUGUGCGAAAGCGUGGGGAGCAAACAGGAUUAGAUACC